AGUGAACGCUGGCGGCGUGCUUAACACAUGCAAGUCGAACGAGAACGGAUUAUAGCUUGCUAUAAUUGUCAGCUAAGUGGCGCACGGGUGAGUAAUGUAUAGGUAAUAUGCCUCUUACUAAGGGAUAACAAAUGGAAACGUUUGCUAAUACCUUAUACUCCUUAUUAACAGAAGUUAAUAAGGGAAAGAUUUAUUGGUAAGAGAUUAGCCUGUAUUGUAUCAGUUAGUUGGCGGGGUAAUGGCUUACCAAGACUAUGACACAUAACUGGUUUGAGAGGAUGAUCAGUCACACUGGAACUGAGACACGGUCCAGACUCCUACGGGAGGCAGCAGUGGGGAAUAUUGCACAAUGGACGAAAGUCUGAUGCAGCAACGCCGCGUGGAGGAUGACACAUUUCGGAGUGUAAACUUCUUUUAUGUGGGAAGAUUAUGAUGGUACCACAUGAAUAAGGACCGGCUAACUACGUGCCAGCCGCCGCCGUAA
rnacentral:rRNA from 1 species